AGAGCUAGCUUCAAGCUCUUUUCAAGGUUACUAGUUCGGUUUCAUUGGAGGUUUUUGAAGAUCAAGGAUUGGAGAGGAGCUUCAUGCUUCGGGUCAGGGAAGAAAAGACGGAGAAUUGGAUUUUUCUUCUUCAUAGAGUUUUGAGGAGACUAAGGCAAUCGUUGCUGAAGUCAGUGUUGUAAUGGUGAAUCGGGAUUUUUUUAAUAAAGUGGACUUGAUUACUCUUGACUGUUUUGUGAAAUCGAGUUACGUCUGUGAUUGAAGAAUUAAAAGGGUGUCUAUAGGAUUGAGUAUGCGGAGCGAAUGAAAUUUAUUGGGUUAAUCUAACAAGACAGUCAGUGGAUAUAAGAUCGUAAGUACAAAGCGGUAUCGGAGAUUAGCAGAUUGAGUUAUUCGAGGUUCUCUGUAGCGUCUAGAGAUCUACCGGCUGGGGUAAAAAGGACUUCGACAAGCAGUCAAAGGGCAUCCGUAUAGAUUUACGGUGUAUUCUUGUAGUCGUUUAUAUUCCAGCAGUCAAAAACUGAUAGACUGCUUGACUAUUGGCGAAUCUCCAUAUUACCUUCUACAGCCAAACGCCCGGCGCGUUUUUGAGCAGAAAAGCACGUAAUACGACAAAAGUGGUAAACCCGACGUGAAAGCUUGAGGAGGAAGGUAUUGGAUUUUGGUUGAUUUUAUCUUUAUUUUAUGGAAAACGAAAAUAAAAAAUUUGAAGGAUUUUUGGGAGGAGUUUCUGGUAGGGAUUCUUCUAAAGGACAAGGUAUGCACAUGGAUCCGUCUAUUGCUAGUAUGUUUCAAGCCUUCUCAUUGUCAAUGCAGCAACAGCAAAGCAAUGAUCGAAAGGAAGCUUUGGCAACCAAAGCAUUGCAAGCAAUGGUCAUUAAAAUUGAUCAAUUUGAUGGAAGGAAUAUUUCAAGGUAUUUAAGAUGUUAGGUUCAUGAAAUGGAAUUAAAUCAGGUUUCUGAGAAGAAAAUGGUUGAACUAUUUGGACUUGCCACGCUACCGGAGAUAAGAGACCACAUUACAUCGAUUAUGGAUCGUUAUGGGAAUUCAUGGGAGGUUUUUUCACAUGCAUUGAAAGACGAAUAUUUCUUGGAAGAUGCUGAUCGCGUUACUAAGAAGCUGUUUCUGGAAUGGAUUGAACGGCCUAAUAAGAAUUUGCAAGCAACAGAGCUACUAAGAGAAUUUGAGAGGCAGUACUCUCAAUUGUCAAAGGUAGAAAAAUUGACAUUGGAGCCGAACAAAGUUGAUCUAUUUCUUCAAGCUGCUGAUGGAGAAUUGCAAGGGAAAUUAGAACUCCUUCUUGAAGACAAAGAAGAAGAUGAAGGAUUGACAACGAAGUGGAAGAACGUUGAAGAUGCGAUGGGAUUGCUUAUAAAAAAAAGAAAGGAGGAAGGAUAGGAGCAAUAUUCAGAAAUCAGUACAAGCACCCAAAGCUCCAGUACGUACAACACCACCAACAAUGCCUACAGUUCAACCUUCGACAUCCUUAUCAAAGAAAGCAGAUAUGGGGAUGGAAGAAAUUAUACGAGGAAUGCGAGAUCUUCAAAUCAAAUUGGCAAGACUUAAAGAGAAUACUUCUAUAAACAAUUCGAAGAAUGUUUCAAAACAAAGAUAUGUACAAAGAUGCAUUUGGUGUGAUGAUGCUUCAUACACUAGAAAAGAUUGCAAUGAAUUUAAUAAUAUGAUACGGCAGAGAAUUAUUUUCUGGAAAGAUGGGAAGAUAGCAUUGAAAGAUAGGGAUGAUCUUCUUCAAACCAAUUUUGGCAAGGGAGGAAUGAGAGCAUUGGUUCAAGAUUACCUAAAAGAGCAUGAAACAACAGCAUGAGAAAGUGCAAGUUAUGGUACUAGAGUAGAUGAUGAAAUUGGUGAAGUAUGGAAACUAGUGAGUUUUGGACUUCUGCCGUUUCUACAAUGCAAGAAGGGAAAUUACCUCGAGAAGCGUUAUUGAGGACUGCAGCUAUAAUAUGAGGUAGAACAGGUUGGGAGGAUCCUGUUGAGUCUCUUUCAGUUCAUGCAUAUAUUGCUAAGAGCCAAAAUGAAGCUUUGGUGGAAGAAAAGACACGAGGAAAUUUUGAUGAUACUAGAGAAAGAAAUUCUUCUAAGAGGCAAACUCGAGGAGACAAGGCUCGGGAGGCAGCUUCACAAGAAUUGCCUGUAAAGGAUACCUCAGCAUCAUUGGGAGAAAAAACAAAAGAGACAAAAGAUAAGGGCAAAUCAAUUGCUUAUAAGCUACUUUCUGACAUUGAAGCGGCAACAAAUUUGAAAGGGGUGUUGGAAGAACGUAUAUUAAACGCUAAGGUGGAAUUCACAUUGAAAGAAGUCUUAGGAAUUGCAAAGAAGGAGUUUCAUGAUGUCAUCAUUGACAACAUUAAGCGAAAGAGGCAAUUAAUGGGAGAAACUGGAAUGAGUCAUGCUAUUGAUGCAAGAAUAUAUAAAGAAGAAGAAGAGAUUGAUAUUGGUUACAAGCAACCAACAAAUGAAAAGAAUGGGUAUAAUCAACGAGUACGUUUCGAAGAUUAUACUGAUAAAGAAAUAAAAACUUUGAGCCAUUAUACUCGAAAGCAUUAGGCAAGGGCAACUACUGAGGUAUUGGUGAAAGUAGGAGAUAUAUAAGAACCAAUUGUUGCUUUAGUCGACCAUGGUUCUGAAAUAAAUCUCAUGUCUAAAGAUCUUUAUAAGAAGCAAAAAUAGCCAAUUGAUAUGGAAUAUGGAUGGACAAUUCGAGCGGCUAAUAACACAUGGGGCGAAUUAUAUAGAGCUUGUCCAGAUGUCAAAAUUCGGAUUGGGGAUGUUGCGACGGAGCAACAUUUCUUUGUUCAAGAUACAACGUCUUAUCCGUUGAUUUUAGGACAACCUUAUAUUACGGCAACACGGAUGGAAACAAAAGUACUUGACGAUGAUUCUGCUUAUGCAAGGGUACGGAGCGAAGAUGAGAGGAAAGCUGUACAAUUUCUAACAAUACCUCCUAACCAUGAACGGAAUCGAGAUAGGUUAAGGGAGAAACCAUUGCCAAAGAUUGUUGAAGGAUUUAAGGAUUUUGGGAAGGUACCACUAUAAAGCGAGAUUAUGGAGGUACAAAAGAGGAGGUACUCUCGCGAGAUGAAGGUGCCUUUGAUGCGAGUUUUAUUGAUAUAUCAGAGAAUGGAAAUAUUAUGUAUAAGAAAGUUGAUGAUUUUAAAAGAAAAGAAAGAAAAAGAUUAUAUGAUAUUGAAAGACAAUUACGCAAGUUAGGUACACUACAAGAUGAUGAGAGGAUUUUAGGUGUUUAUGAAGAAAAUGGACUGGAACAUUCAUUGGAAUUGAUUACAUCUAUUGGGUUAAGAGAUAAUGAUAAGAUUGUUGAGAUUCAUUCAAGAGAGGUUUAUACCAUACUUGAAUCUUUUCAAGCACCAGAAGUCACUGUAGAGACGAGAUGUAAAACGGCAGAUAAGAAGGUAAAGCCUGUUGCCGGACCAUUACUAAAAGAUUCUAAAGAACAAAUGGGAGAAGCAUCAAAUGAAGCAAGUUUAAGAGAUCCAAUGAGUAUUGGAUACCAGUUUACUAAAGAGACUUUUGAAGAAUUAAAGAUUGGUUCUGAUGGUUCUUUAUUACCGGAAGAAAUUACUUGCUUCAAAAAGAUGUUGGCUUAACAAGGUAGAUUAUUUGCCUUCGAAUCUCAUGAAAUUGGGUGUGUGGAUCCAAAUAUUGUAACACCUAUGGUUAUCUUCACUGUACCACAUGUACCUUGGAAUCUAAGACUGAUUCUAGUACCGAGGGCACAUUUACCUAAAUUGGUUGAACUAUUAAAAAAAAAGAUAAAUAUGAAAAUAUUAGAACCUUCAUUUGUGCCAUAUUCUAGUCGAUGGUUUACGGUACCUAAGAAGAAUGGGUCACUACGGUUUAUUCAAGAUAUGCAACCGGUGAAUGCAGUAACUGUUAGGAAUGCAAGAAUUGGGCCUAUUGUGGAUGAAUUUGUUGAGGCGUUUGCUGGAAGGGCGAUCUAUUCAAUGGGUGACUUGUAUUCAAGUUAUGAUCAAUUUCAACUUGCCGAAGGAAGUAGAGAUAUGACAACAAUGAGGACACCACUUGGAUUGGUUAGAAUGUACACUCUUCCUCAAGGUGCGAUCAACUCAGUUGCGCAUAUGAUGAAUGAGAUGAAUAAGGUAUUGAGAGAUUUUAUUCCGAAAAAGACUAUGCCUUUUCUGGAUGAUGUUCCUAUAAAAGGGUGCAAAGAAAGAGACAAGGAUGAAACUUUAGAUACGAGGGGGUGUCGCAAAUAUAUUAUUGAUCAUAUACAAGAUUAUGAAAAGAUUUUAACUCGGCUUGGAGAAGUUCAUCUUACAUUAUCGGGUAUGAAGUCCGUAUUUGGAGUACGAGAGGUUGUGAUUGUUGGACAUUUAUGUGGAUCUUACAGAAGAAAAUGAAAUCCGACUAAAGUUGAUGCAAUUGGAAGGAUGAAAGAGGAUUGUGAUUCUUUAACAGAGGUUCGCAGGUUUUUGGGUGCAUGUGUAUUUUAUCGAAUCUGGAUCCCUCAUUUUGCUCACAUAGCGGAUCCAUUAUAUGAACUGUUACGCAAGGGUUACCGAUUUAAAUGGAAAGAAAGGCAUAUUCAGGCAAUGCAAAGAUUGAAGAAAUUAUUGAUGUCACCUCCAAUAUUGAGGAAGGUUGAUUAUAAGUGUAAUAGACUAGUGAUUCUUACUGUGGACGCUAGUCCAAUUGCCAUUGGAUGGGCUGUGGGUCAAGAUGAUUCAAAUGGGAAUAGAUUUGCAGUUUGAUUUGGGACUAAAGUUUUAAGUAUUCGUCAGCGUGCAUAUUCGCAAGUCAAAAGAGAACUUUGGGGAGUCGUUUCGGCUAUGAAAGCUGAAAAGGACUAUUUGAUGAGGGCAGUAGUAGUAAUUGAAACAGAUUCCUUGCCAUUGCUUGGAAUGAUUAUUAACUGUUCAAUGCCAGAUAUUACAAUGUUGAGAUGGAUUGCUUAUAUUAAAUCACUAAAUCUAGAAUUUAAGCAUAUUACUGGGAAGGACAAUUUAGUAGCAGACAUGCUAUCUCGAGCAAGAUACGAGAGGGAGGACGAAAUGGUUAAAGACAUUGAUGACGUUGGAUUGAAAUUCUAUUCAAUAUCAAAUUUCAACAGAGAAGACAAGCUAUUUCUUGAAGAAUCUUAUGAAGGAGAAUUAUUGGAUAUUGGUCAUUACUUGAAUACCUUGACUAAGCAGGGGAAUUGGUCUACAGAAAAAUUCAAACAAAUAAGAAAAAAAGCAUAUAGAUUUUUACUUCGAGAUGGAUUCUUAUGGAAGAGACCGAAGACAAGAAUUGGGAUGCCACAACGAGUGAUAGGCAAAAAGGAAGAAAGACUAAAAUUAUUAAAGGAGUUUCAUGAUAGUUUAUGGGCAGGGCAUAGAGGAAUCUGGGCUACUUUUGCUAAACUCAAGGAACGAUAUUGGUGGAAAAAUAUGUAUCGAGAUGUGCUCUCAUUUGUAGAGUCAUGUGAAAUCUGUCAAUCAUAUUCUAAUAUCCGACAUCGAGAUGGUCUUCAUCCUACGUAUCCUCUGGCUAUUCAUUUUAAAUGGGUUGUUGAUUUGGUUAUUAUGCCGGUUGGGUUAUGGCAGAUGAGAUAUUUGGUUUUAGUUCGUGAAGAUUUAUCAAAUCAAGUAGAAGGAAGAGCAUUGAGGACAAAAUCUACAGAGGAGAUUUGUAGGUUUUUGCUUGAAGAUGUCAUUUGCCACUACGGAUGCGUAGGAAAAAUCACUGCAGAUCAUGGAGAAUUAAAUGCACAAGAAGCUCGUAAGUUCUUUGAAAGAUGUGGACUUAAACUAUCACUGACUACUGCUUAUAAUCCAGAAGGAAAUGCAAAAAGCGAACGCGGUCACCCAACGAUUGUGAAAGCAUUAGUUAAAGCUUGUAAUGGGAAAGUUAAAGAGUGGCCACGGCUUUUGUCAUUUGCAUUAUGGGCUGAUCGAACAACACAUAGUUCGGUGACAGGAUAUAUGCCAGUAGAACUUAUGACAGGUCAAAAACCAAUUAUGCUGAUUGAAAAAAAGGUACUUACUUGGAGUAUGCUACCAUGGGAAGAUGGAAUGACAAGAGAAGAACUUCUGGCUAUUAGGAUUCGACAAUUGGAGCAAAGAACGGAAGAUGUCCAGAUAGCAUUGGGAAGGUUAAAAAGAGCAAGGUUACAAAAUAAGGCACGAUUUGAUAAGCAACAUCGAUUGAGACCAAAAGCAAUCGAGGAAGGUGACUAGGUACUUGUUUAUGAUAAUAGUUUGGAUAAUCAACAUAGUACUUUGCGGAAAUUUUCAAAACGUUGGUUUGGACCAUAUAUAGUAACAACUGUUCAUGAUAAUGUGACUUACUCAUUACGGGAGUUAGAUGGUACAAAAUUGAAAAUACCAAUUGCAGGGAAGUGAGUAAAAAUAUUUAAACGAAGACACGCGGAGAUGAAUAUGGAAGACCUUAAUGAAGGUAUAGAGAUUCCGCAGCAAGAAGAUGAAAGUGAUUUGGAUAAUGAAGGUGACGAAGACGAACAGGACAAAGACGUAGAGGAUAUAUUCUGAAUCAAACAACAAUUGGGUAAAUUGGUGCAUAUCGGAGGAUGCACAGAUUCAGAGGAGGUGGAUGUCGUAUUGUAACAUGAGUAUACCGUGAAAAUAUAAAGAAAGGGGACUUUUAUUAAUGUUCAGUUACCUCGAAUAUUGGGAGCAACGACCAACUCCAAUGCAAAUACUGAGUAGCCAAGUUCAGUCACCCCAUUACAGUCAGCCAAGGCAUACUAAAAUGCUCCAUUUGAUUCAAAUAACGGGAGUCAGCAGGAAGAGAAAGGACCAAUUCUCAUGACUGGUGAGCUUGGUUCGAAGAGCCAAUUGGAUCCAAUUUCAAGAAUCCAAUCCGGGUCCUCUUACCCAAUAUGAGACCUUCAUUGGUCAGGCAACCCAAUGCAGUCUUGUUACGGGAACAUCCAGGUUACUACAGGCAUCUUACCCAAUAUGAGACCUGCAUUGGUCGGGCAACCCAAUGCAGUCUAAUUACGGGAGAAUCCGGGUCUUACUACUGGACUCUUAUCCAAUAUGAGACCUGAAUUGGUCGGGCGACUCAAUGUGGACCCGAGUAUGGGGUUUUGAUUCUGUUUCAGGUUGUACUAUUCUCUGUUUCAGGGAACGUUGUUUUCGAUAAAUGGAUUUCUUAAAGGUUAAAACAGAGGAGAAAGCUCUGACAGCGAGAGCCAAAUUCGGAUCUAAGCCUUGAUGGCGAGAGUCAAUUUCGGAUCUAAGCUCUGACGGUGGGAGCAAAUUUCGGAUCCAAGAUGGAAGAUUGAAGAAAUUCAGAGGAUAAGGUUAGGGGGGGAGUAAGUUUUGGGGAGGUUUUUUUUCAGAUCAGGGGGGAGGUUUUUUUUUGAAGAUAGGGAAGAGCUAGCUUCAAGCUCUUUUUAAGGUUAUUAGUUCAGUUUCAUUGGAGGUUUUUGAAGAUCAGGGAUUGGAGAUGAGCUUCAUGCUUUGGAUCGGGGAAGAAAAGACGGAGUAUUGGAUUUUUCUUCUUCAUAGAGUUUUGAAGAGACUGAGGCAAUCGUUGUUGAAGUCAGUGUUGUAAUGGUGAAUCGAGAUUUUUUAAUGAAGUGGGUUUGAUUACUCUUGACUGUUUUGUGAAAUCGAGUUACGUCUGUGAUUGAAGGAUUAAAAGGGUGUCUAUAGGAUUGAGUAUGCGGAGUGAAUGAAUUUUAUUGGGUUAAUCUAACAAGACAGUCAGUGGAUAGAAGAUCGUAAGUACAAAGCGGUAUCGGAGAUUAGCAGAUUGG
rnacentral:lncRNA from 1 species